rnacentral:rRNA from 1 species
GACGAACGCUGGCGGCGUGCUUAACACAUGCAAGUCGAACGGAAAGGCCCUGCUUGCCGGGUACUCGAGUGGCGAACGGGUGAGUAACACGUGGGUGAUCUGCCCUGCACUUCGGGAUAAGCCUGGGAAACUGGGUCUAAUACCGGAUAGGAGCCAUUUUUAGUGUGAUGGUUGGAAAGUUUUUUCGGUGUAGGAUGAGCUCGCGGCCUAUCAGCCUGUUGGUGGGGUAAUGGCCUACCAAGGCGGCGACGGGUAGCCGGCCUGAGAGGGUGGACGGCCACAUUGGGACUGAGAUACGGCCCAGACUCCUACGGGAGGCAGCAGUGGGGAAUAUUGCACAAUGGGCGCAAGCCUGAUGCAGCGACGCCGCGUGGGGGAUGACGGCCUUCGGGUUGUAAACUCCUUUCGCUAGGGACGAAGCUUUUUGUGACGGUACCUAGAUAAGAAGCACCGGCUAACUACGUG